CCAGACUCCUACGGGAGGCAGCAGUGGGGGAUAUUGCACAAUGGGGGGAACCCUGAUGCAGCGACGCCGCGUGGGCGAUGGAGCGCCUCGGCGCGUAAAGCCCUAUCAGCAGGGAAGAAAAUGACGGUACCUGACUAAGAAGCCCCGGCUAAAUACGUGCCAGCAGCCGCGGUAAUACGUAUGGGGCAAGCGUUAUCCGGAUUUACUGGGUGUAAAGGGAGCGUAGACGGCAGGGCAAGUCUGGAGUGAAAGCCCGGGGCCCAACCCCGGGACUGCUUUGGAAACUGCCAUGCUGGAGUGCUGGAGAGGUAAGCGGAAUUCCUAGUGUAGCGGUGAAAUGCGUAGAUAUUAGGAGGAACACCAGUGGCGAAGGCGGCUUGCUGGACAGAGACUGACGUUGAGGCUCGAAAGCGUGGGGAGCAAACAGGAUUAGAUACCCUAAGU
rnacentral:rRNA from 1 species